CUGCACUAUGAUAUGACACUAAGGAAAGCAUAGUGGCUCGUGGCUCCGUUUGUACUUUUACAUGUUUCCACAAGCAAGAUGGAAGUGCGUAUGGCUGGUGUGGCCUCACAGCCUGCCCUGACCUGCCUGUCCGGCGUGUAGACUACAUUAGCCCAUAGCCAUAGCCAUAGGGCGAUAGGGCCUGCAGGAACGCAUAGUGGAAAUGGAAGGACAGAAGGUACAGAAGAUUUUCAUGUAAACGUUAAAUCGACGUAGUUAGCAGAGGGGUCAAAGAUUUCUGUUGUUCUGCAGCAUGCGACAUUGAAGAACUGCCAACUUGCCAACGCUGCAAAAUAAUCAUGGGAUGGCGUGAGCAACUACGAAGUCCAAGCAUCAUUGUAUUCGUGGUGGGCAUGAGUGCAGUUUAUUAUGGAUGGCUGAAGAUCAUAGACAAUGAAGAGUUUGUGCCAAAAGCGGAGAAGCCCACACCUCCACACAUGGCAUUGUAUAACUUCAUUACUGGGAAGUCUGGUUCUACAGCCACGGGACAUUCACCAAAGAAGUCUGAAUGAGCACUUCUCGUACUGUACUGUUAAAUGUAGGCACUGCGUAAACAAAAUAUAAGUAAUGUGUUGUCAGUA